CGCUGCAAGGAGCGUUGCGACAGGGACAUCCCCUGCCAGGCUUGAAGCGGUGAACAGGCGCACGUCGCCUGGCAACCGCGCUCACGUUAC
rnacentral:ncRNA from 2 species